AUUGAACGCUGGCGGAAUGCUUUACACAUGCAAGUCGAACGGCAGCACGGGGGCAACCCUGGUGGCGAGUGGCGAACGGGUGAGUAAUACAUCGGAACGUGCCCAGUCGUGGGGGAUAACGUAGCGAAAGUUACGCUAAUACCGCAUACGAUCUAUGGAUGAAAGCGGGGGACCGUAAGGCCUCGCGCGAUUGGAGCGGCCGAUGUCAGAUUAGGUUGUUGGUGGGGUAAAGGCCCACCAAGCCGACGAUCUGUAGCUGGUCUGAGAGGACGACCAGCCACACUGGGACUGAGACACGGCCCAGACUCCUACGGGAGGCAGCAGUGGGGAAUUUUGGACAAUGGGCGCAAGCCUGAUCCAGCCAUUCCGCGUGCAGGACGAAGGCCUUCGGGUUGUAAACUGCUUUUGUACGGAACGAAAAGGUCCUGGUUAAUACCCGGGGCUCAUGACGGUACCGUAAGAAUAAGCACCGGCUAACUACGUGCCAGCCGCCGCGGUAACAC
rnacentral:rRNA from 1 species